rnacentral:rRNA from 1 species
GAUGAACGCUGGCGGCGUGCCUAAUACAUGCAAGUCGAGCGAACGGACGAGAAGCUUGCUUCUCUGAUGUUAGCGGCGGACGGGUGAGUAACACGUGGAUAACCUACCUAUAAGACUGGGAUAAAUUCGGGAAACCGGAGCUAAUACCGGAUAAUAUUUUGAACCGCAUGGUUCAAAAGUGAAAGACGGUCUUUCUGUCACUUAUAGAUGGAUCCGCGCUGCAUUAGCUAGUUGGUAAGGUAACGGCUUACCAAGGCAACGAUGCAUAGCCGACCUGAGAGGGUGAUCGGCCACACUGGAACUGAGACACGGUCCAGACUCCUACGGGAGGCAGCAGUAGGGAAUCUUCCGCAAUGGGCGAAAGCCUGACGGAGCAACGCCGCGUGAGUGAUGAAGGUCUUCGGAUCGUAAAACUCUGUUAUUAGGGAAGAACAUAUGUGUAAGUAACUGUGCACAUCUUGACGGUACCUAAUCAGAAAGCCACGGCUAACUACGUG